UACAUAUCUGCCUCUUCAUUAAGACCCGCCGCUGACAUCCAAACAACCCCAGCCGAAAAAUAGACUGAAAUCCGGGAUCAUAAAGAUAAGAAGCGUCUCGUUUCUUGCCCAGAUUCGUCGGAAAACGCGCCUGGUUCAUCUCAUUUUUUUUCGUUCAAAUUCCGGCAGAACUCGGUUGGUUCGUCGAAGUUUCUAUUUCUCUGGAGAGAUCUGCGAUCCAUCGAGGUUAGUUCGAGGCUCUUCUCGUUGUUGGUUUCAAACUAGUAA
rnacentral:lncRNA from 1 species